AAAAAAGAGCCCACGGACAGCCCACGCGGCCACGCCCAUCCACCCCUCAAAUCUAGCGACGCCGACGCCGACGCCGACGCCGACGACGACGCCCACCCCCGCCGGCCGCCGCCGUUCUGCUCCGCUUCCGGCGCCGCUGAGGAGCUUCCACUCUCCAAUGCGCCUCAGGAUUUUGUGAUGCCCAUCCCGUCCAUCUUCAAAGCCAUCCCUGCCGUUUGAAUUUUGAUCGAUCGCAAGGAAAGACACAAGAAAGAAUAAAGAGAGUGCAG
rnacentral:lncRNA from 1 species